rnacentral:rRNA from 1 species
UACGUAGGGUCCGAGCGUUGUCCGGAGUUACUGGGCGUAAAGCGCGCGCAGGCGGCUUGGCAAGCAUGGCGUGAAAGCCCCCCGGCUUAACCGGGGAGAGUCGUCGUGGACUGCCAGGCUUGAGGGCGGUAGGGGUUGGUGGAAUUCCCGGUGUAGUGGUGAAAUGCGUAGAGAUCGGGAGGAACACCUGUGGCGAAGGCGGCCCCCUGGGCCGGCCCUGACACUGAGACGCGAAGGCGUGGGGAGCGAACAGG